CAUGUAGGCGGCUUUUUAAGUCGAUUGUGAAAUCCCUUGGCUUAACCAAGGAACUGCAACCGAUACUGAGAGGCUUGAGUGCGGAGGAGGAAAGCGGAAUUCCCGGUGUAAGAGUGAAAUCUGUAGAGAUCGGGAGGAACACCAGUGGCGAAGGCGGCUUUCUGGUCCGCAACUGACGCUGAAAUGCGAAAGCUAGGGGAGCAAACAGGAUUAGAUACCCUGGUAGUCC
rnacentral:rRNA from 1 species